CUGAGGGGUCACGACAGUCUACCCCUCCACCCUCUAAAGUGAUGAUAUGAUGCGUCAGGUGUAUAUGGCUGCUCGAGAACUUGUGACAGGUGUUUCGGUGGGAAAAGAACUUUAGGGUAUAUAAGAAACGAGACGGACUAACAUUUUCCAUGAAGAAAUUCGGGGAUCGACAUGAUGGCUCAUGCUUUAAAAGUUCAAGCUGAAAUUCACCAGGUGCCUGAGUAUCAGGUUACAGCGGAAGAACUAGAGGGUAUUAGCCUCACUCAGACAGACCCAGGUACCGUAUCUCUCUCUGUGUUUUUUUGUUUUUGGCCUCUGUUAUUUAGUUCUGGUGAAAAAACUUUUUUUUUUUUUACUACGCGUGACAGAUUUUACAUGCGGAAUUAAUCCUGAUGAGUUUGCGAGAGGAUCGGGAAGCGACAGUCUCGCGGAUGAUUUGGAUUUGAUUCUAACAGGGGCCUCGCCAGCGAUCUCGCGAGAUCGUCGCGUUCCCUCCUCUCCUCCGAGAAGCGGAAAUGGCGUAAUAGAAAUAUCAACAACUCCGAGACCGGCGAGGCCGUAAGUCGCGAGCGUGACACCAGUCUUAAAAGCCUGUGACGUGCCUCAGCGAGCGAAGAGACGGAGAUUAGUCAGUAAGACAGCGUCUCUAGUGAAGCGAUUAUUUACAGAUUCAGUCGAAUCACCCGCGUGUUCAACCAGGGAAGGGGGUCGUGGAUCUCAAAGCGUGAUUAACGAGACCGAAGCGGAGACCGAAUCGGAUAACGGCCCAGAACCGAAUCAGGAAGCAGAGCGAUGUCGGAGAGAGCGCCAGAGUCCCACUAGACCUCUGUUUAAGCGCAGGUUUCCUCAACGAGGGGCUAACG